CCUGCUAUUAGUUGACAUGGACUGGACAUCUCUAAAUCUUAAGGUACUAAGACUCAAUUUCUUACCAUGUCAUAUCUCGUACGGUGUAGUAGGAAUGAAUGUAGAGGGAAUCUUAUUUAAAAGAUAGAUGGCAAAAAGCAACGCAUGUCCCCAAAGAAACAACAGAAGAUCGGUGAAACUCAUCAUGGAUCGGACCAUAUCUAAUAAGAUCUUAUUUCUCCUUUCGGAUGUCCCG
rnacentral:lncRNA from 1 species